rnacentral:tRNA from 1 species
ACCAACGUAGCUCAACAGAAGAGCUCCCGAACGCGAAGGUGGAAGUUCGAUUCCUCCCGUUGAUA